rnacentral:rRNA from 1 species
CCAGGGGGUAGCGACUGUUUACCAAAAACACAGGUGCAUGCGAAGGCGAAAGCCGCUGUAUAUGCACUGACGCCUGCCCGGUGCCGGAAGGUUAAGAGGAUCCGUCAAUCCCUUCGGGGACGAAGCGGUGAAUUCAAGCCCCGGUAAACGGCGGUGGUAACUAUAACCAUCCUAAGGUAGCGAAAUUCCUUGUCGGGUAAGUUCCGACCUGCACGAAUGGCGUAACGACUUCCCCACUGUCUCGACCAGGAGCUCGGCGAAAUUGCAGUACGAGUAAAGAUGCUCGUUAAGCGCAGAAGGACGAAAAGACCCCGGGACCUUUACUAUACCUUGGUAUUGGCGUUAGGCGCGGAUUGUGUAGCAUAGGCGGGAGGCUUUGAAACGGUGGCGCCAGCCAUCGCGGAGCCGCAAGGUGAAAUACCGCUCUGUUCUCGUUUGACGUCUAACCUCGACAAGUCAUCCUUGUCAGGGACAGUGCCUGGCGGGUAGUUCAACUGGGGCGGUUGCCUCCCAAAGAGUAACGGAGGCGCUCAAAGGUCCGCUCAGCCCGGUUGGCAAUCGGGUGUCGAGUGUAAUCGCACAAGCGGGCUUGACUGCGAGGACGACGGUCCGAGCAGGGACGAAAGUCGGAGAUAGUGAUCCGGUGCCGGCGCACGGGCGCGGCAUCGCUCAACGGAUAAAAGGUACCCCGGGGAUAACAGGCUGAUCAUUCCCAAGAGUCCAUAUCGACGGGAUGGUUUGGCACCUCGAUGUCGGCUCGUCGCAUCCUGGGGCUGGAGCAGGUCCCAAGGGUUCGGCUGUUCGCCGAUUAAAGCGGCACGCGAGCUGGGUUCAGAACGUCGUGAGACAGUUUGGUCUCUAUCCUCUGCGCUCGUUGGAAUCCUGAGGAGGCCUGCCCAUAGUACGAGAGGACCUGGGUGGACGAACCUCUGGUAUGCCGGU